rnacentral:rRNA from 1 species
UACGUAGGGUGCGAGCGUUGUCCGGAUUUACUGGGCGUAAAGCGUGCGCAGGCGGUUCUAUAAGACAGAUGUGAAAUCCCCGGGCUCAACCUGGGAACUGCAUUUGUGACUGUAGAGCUGGAGUACGGUAGAGGGGGAUGGAAUUCCGCGUGUAGCAGUGAAAUGCGUAGAUAUGCGGAGGAACACCGAUGGCGAAGGCAAUCCCCUGGACCUGUACUGACGCUCAUGCACGAAAGCGUGGGGAGCAAACAGG